CCCUUAGAUGUUCUGGGCCGCACGCGCGCUACAAUGAUGAAUUCAACGAGUUUAUAACCUUGGUUGAAAAGCCUGGGUAAUCUUUUGAACUUUCGUCGUGAUGGGGCUAGACCCUUGCAAUUAUUGGUCUCCAACGAGGAAUUCCUAGUAAACGCAAGUCAUCAGCUUGCAUUGAUUGCGUCCCUGCCCUUUGUACACACCGCCCGUCGCACCUACCGAUUGAAUGGUCCGGUGAAAUCUUCGGAUUGAGACUUUGAUUUCUUCACGGAAAACGCUGUUUUAAAAAGUUGAUUAAACCUUACCAUUUAGAGGAAGGUGAAGUCGUAACA
rnacentral:rRNA from 1 species